GACAUGAAACAGGCCCAGACCAAUAUACUCUGCUGCCUGAGGCAAAGGACAAGAUGGCGCCUUUCUCUGCUCCCUGUAAAGGGGCUGAACAGACAGGCAAUUGAAUCCCACUUCACCCCUAGUGGCAGCCUGGCUUGGGGUGGGAGGCAGACAUCUCUGUUCUCCAGCAGAGCAAGGCCUGGGGGCUGAGGAGAAAUUCCACAGGACUUGUUUUUCUGUGUGCCUUUCUACAAUGUUUGCUCCUUUCUGCAAUGCUGUACCAUGUCAGUACCAAAAGGGCAUUUGGCAGUUACACUAGUUGACCAGGAAAGCAUUUGUGACUAAUGCCCUCUAAAUGAACGCCAAGCAAAAAACUAUGUAUAGCUUAUGCAGUUUGCAGUCCCAAAUGUAACAUUCGUCCAGCUGAGGUCCAGCUCAGAGGCUUUUCUGCUGGUUCCCUCACUGCAAGAAGCGAAGUUACAGGGAACCAGGCAGAGAGCAUUCUUGGUGGUGGCUCCCUCCCUUCAGAUGCCAAGGAGGAAAAGAACUACACAACUUUUUGAAGACAUCUGAAGCUUCUACCAAAUGUGCCAGCGGAUGAAGCACCUAUCGCCCCACUUGGUUUCCCUCCCGUAUACAGUGGAACAGUCUCGCCUUCCUCUGUGGCCAGCAUGGAAAUGCAAGUGGGAAAGAAGAGGUAAGGUGGAUCUCUUUGUUUCUCUUUGGGUGCCCUUAAAAGAUGAUUGGACAAACUCAUGGAGGAUAAAGCUGUCAAUGGCUACUGCACUGAAGCAGGAAGGAGGAUUAUAGGUGGAGAGACUUCUCUUGCUUGAAGGCUUCCCAUGGGCAUCUGCUUAGACACUGAGAAAACUGGAUGCUGGAGUAGAUGGCCAUUGGCCUGAUCCAGGACUCUUUCAUUCUUAAGUUCCUCUGCCUUUCCCUUCUGACUGGAGGAAGGGGCUUGCCUUCCUCUAUGGUCAGCAUGGAAAUCAAGCGGGCUGGUGAAGAAAGGACCAAGUGAAGUGUAGCUCCUCUACAAGUCUGUUCACUUUUCUGUGCACGAUUCCUUGUUUCCUGUGGCAUCCAGGCAAGUCCACAUCACAGUGUAGCUGAAUGUGAGGUUUGCAAUGGGGAGGGUGUUUUGGAGAAGAGAAGGGGGAGGGGGGUACUGUCCCUUCCUUGCCGGAAGUUUCCACACAGAAAUUCAUUGUAGUAGCAGUUCUUCCUCCCAUGCCAGAUCUAGAUUUACCUUGCAAUUGUGGGUCUGGAUUCCCUCGUGGAGGAAAGCUGCUCAGACAGAAAUUGUAGUGUGAGGAGGGGAACAGCCACUUAGAGAAGGAUACCUCCUCAGUUGCACUGUGGGGUGCUUUACAGCAAAGGUAACGGCUGCUCCACCAACCUCAGGCUGCCUGCCUUCUUCUACAUCCAACCCAGGUGGUGGCCCUGCCUGUUGGCUUCCUCCUGCUUAUUCUCAGUGUUGCCCUCAGUAGGGAGGAGGUUGGGGACAAAACUAGACUUAGUUGACUCUGUCGGUCAUUUACUCUGACUUUUGCCUACUCUUGACUUCUCUGCCUUCCCUCAGCUGAGGGUGACAUUUCUACAUGGGCAACCUUCUGGGGCGACAUACCAGUGGAGGGUGGAGCAAUGGCACCCGGUGGGUGGAGCAAUGUGAGAACAGCGCAAGCAGGAAGCAAAAGGGGGCAAGACCUCAACCACGGGCAAUUUAUAUAGCCCAAGCCAUGCCCCCAGACCAACCGCAUUGGUGGGUCCAAGGGAUGAUGCGGCUCAGGACUCUAGUGGCGCCGGGGCUACCCCACCUUGUGCGCGUGGGUCGGGCUUGUUCCCAGCCCGCAAGGUUAUCUCCCGGGAACGGAAAAUGGCUUUCUCAGAGUUAAGAACAGUUUCCAGCCACGGAAAAGCACCUGAGAAAGAUGUUUGGAGCAAGACUAGUGGGAGCUGCAAAGCUAAAAAAGCUGCAAGUCCAGAGCCUGUGGUGCCCCACCCCCGUUGCAUCAAUAUAACAGGGAGGGAGAUGGGAGGGGCCCUCUGUUUUGCUAGGAAUAUGUAGCACAAGUUUCUCUUUCACUGACUUAACCUGCAUUUAUAGUACAGUACAGCUUUCUUAGUGAAUAUGUAUAUGUUCUUAAUUUUGAAAAUCAUCUAUCAGUUUGUAUACCUGAGAGAGAAGCAAAAACUUAUACAGUGGUACCUCUACUUACGAAUGACUCGACUUACGAAUUUUUCUACUUACAAAUGGAGCUCCGUCCGCCAUCUUGGAUGCGGUUUAGAUAGGAUUUUUUCUACUUACGAAUUUUUAGAUAGGGUUGCUUCAACUUAUGAAUUUUUUCUCCCAAUGCAUUCCUAUGGGAUUCAACUUACAAAUUUUUCCGACUUACAAAUGUGCGUUCGGAACGCAUUAAAUUCGUAAGUAGAGGUACCACUGUACUCUUGACAAAAUAAAAUGGAGUUUUGAUAUUUAUUUAUUUAUGUUACUGUUAUCUUUUUCAGUUGGAGAAAGUAAUCCAUAAUAAUAAUAAUAAUAAUAAUAAUAAUAAUAUACCCCACCCAUCUGACUGGGUUUCCUUAACCACAAAAAAAGUCUAUUGCAGUUUCUAUUUUCCUAUCAGUUUGCAAAAUUCUGCCGACUUCUGAGGGGAGGAAGAGGCCCUUGUGUUCGUUCCCCUGCCUGCUGAGAGGCAGCUCCUGGAAGUGACAAGAGCAAAGCCUCGAGAUACAGCCAAGCAGGCUCACUGUUAAUCACCCCUUAAUGCCUGGCUCUGGUUCAUGUGAUCCUAACAAGCAUUUGAAUGCUCCCUUGGGCUGAUCUGCAUGUUCAUCCUCUGCCGGGGGAGGAACACUGCCCUUUCUCUGCCACAUUGUUGAAUUCCUGUCAGGAUGUAAACUAAGGGCUUAUUUAGAGAUAUAUGGGAUUUACCCAGCAGUGUCGGGAUGCCAGAGGGACUGCGCCAGCCUAUUGGCUGGAAAUGAAGGUGUAUUCACCGAGCACGUAUAUAGGGCCAACUGCAGAUCCUAUUGAAGUCCGUGGCACAAUUCCCACUGCCUUUAAUUGGAUUUAGAUCAAGUUCUUUGCGAGCUCCCAUAUUAAAGCUGAUCUCUAAAUGCUUUUUCUUAAUGAACAGAAUUUAUUCAGAAGCUCUUCUCAAGGUUUAAGAUUACCAGCAAACAACCUUCCAAGUAAACUGAAUGGUUUAUUUUAAAGAAGAAAAUAUUCUCUUUCAUCUUCCAUUCAGGAUGUGAGUUGGUUUGCAACAUUACUCAUCCUGGUUCUCUUGAGUGAUUCUUGGGCCUGAAUGGAGAAAAAAGUGUGGUUUCAGGGAGCCAAUCUCAAAAUACAAUGAAACUGUUCCUGGACUUCAGAGUUUGAAUGCUGAUAUAGUACAAAGUAUAUAGUACAAAGAAAGCUGGUUAAGUGUAGAUAACACCUGGUAUGAAGGAAGACCUAAGCUAGAUGUCUCCCUGAUAGCUACAUUUCUAUGUGCAGAGAAUUGUGGGUAUGCAGUUGUCCCUGCACUCAUAAUUAGUCUUCCACAUGUUCUGCUGUUAGUGUAGACUCAUCCUCAAACAACAACACCAACUCCCAACAACUGCUUUCCCAAAGACCAAUACAGAACCAGGUGUCUCUCCCUUCAAAUCCUCCUUUAAACCAAUUUCCCCCAUGAAUACUUUAUGAGAAACACAUACCUGAGUCUUUAUUCACAAUAAAUUCUACAUAUAUGCAACUGUAUUGACUCAGUGAUAAUGAUGAUGCUUAUUAAUAGACAUUAAUGUGUUCUAGCUCCAAGUCUUGUCAGGCAGCCAAGUUCCCACAACAGUUCUGUAUGUGUAUCCAGCUGCAAAAACGACUUAGGAUUUGAAAAGCCAUUGCGUUGAAGAGCGCUUUCUAUUUGUUAUCCUGUUCCAUCGGUGUCAGGUAUUUGCCCAUUCUGUUUCCAUGAUCAGUUGAUGGUACGUAUUAUGGUAUGUGAUCGAGUGAUCAGUACAAUCAUUCUACAAAUGCAUGUACUAAUAUGGGUAGCAUUGCUUCUACUCUUAGAUGCUGUCAAGGGAAAACAUGGGGGGAAUCACCUGAAUACACACUGCCAUGAAUACAUCAUAUUAUUUUGUUCUACCAACAGUAAUUGUCACCAUGUGUUUGAUUUUUGUGUGUGCCUGUGUGUGCUCACAUAUAAUAGAUAACCAAACUAUGAUCAAAUUUUAAUAUUUUUGUCCUGGCUUAUUGAUGCUCCUCAGCAUAUGGUACUCAAAGUAUUCCACUUCAGAGCGUAAGGGACAAUCAAAUGAACAUGAUACGUAGAAGGAAAACAAUUUAAUAACAGGUUGCCAAGAAUCAGAUAAUAAUUCAUGUCAGAUAACAAAAGCAUUCUUUAGUCAGUCGUGUGGCAUUAACCCCAAUAUUGUUUCAGAAGCCUGGCAACUGUAAAAAGGUAAUAAGGAGGGUGGAAAACCUAACAAAAAUAGUCAUUUGGAAGGUUCUGCUCAGGCAAAAUAGGUGUAUGAAUUUCAAGAGAAGCUAAAAGGAUUUCUGUUGCGAUAGGGGGCAUGUGGGUGGUGUGUAAUGUGUCUCUAAAUUGCCACCAAUUUUAUACCUAAAAUGGACCAGGUGAGACAUUUGUAGAAAUUUCUAGAAAGUUAACCUAAUAUUUAUAAGGUUCAUGAAAAUUUUGACAGGGAGCAUAAAUGUUUCACAUCUCCCUACCAUGCAAAUCGACUAUGGCUAAAGUGACCCAUAAUUUGUUGGGAGGAAGGAUUUGGAAAUGGGUGAAUGGAGCACCAUCACCAAUUUUCCCCUCACCAACACCGACAGGUUGCCUGUAGUAACACCUCCAGGCAGGCAGGCAGAACGUUCAAAUAGAAAAAAGAAGAUUGGGAAGGGAGGGAGGACUGAGAAGGCAGGCAAGUUCACAGUACCCAUUUGACACCCACAAUGUUCUGGCAAAGCGAAAGAGAGGCUCAGUUCGUCCUGGUCAGCAACUUCUGCCUGGUACAUCUUUUUAAAUAUUGCCUUCCCCUAUAGCCUGAGCCAUUGCCAUCAUUUUCUUUAGCUGCCACACUUCAGGUCAAGAUUUCUUCACUUCCUGCUUGUUUCCUCUGGCUGCGCCAUAGAGAUUCCCCCCCCCCUUUCCUUUAAUAAGGAAAAUCUUAAGAAGGCAUCAGGCCAAGAACUCCCACAAGACAAUCAGGAAUUCAGAACAUUUAUUGCAAGAGCUGAAUAACUGUAAAUAACGUUGAACUGGCAAAGCAGUAACAAGGAUAACUGUUUAGAUAUUUAUUCGGUCAAAGUCAUCAAACACCCCUCACAAACUGACAUAAGUACUGCAAUAAGCAAUGCACCCCUAACCCAUUUUAUGCUUGUAUAUUGUGGAGGAAAGAAAAUGUGAACUGCUAUAUACAAAAUAACUUCAGUUAGUUUUGGUAAGAACAAAUUAACCAUCAAUAUUAGCUACCUUUAUUUUUCUGUGUGUUUAUUUUAAGACUGAUGUUUAACUGUGGAAUAAGAUAAAUUUUUCUUUUGUACUUUAAGGACUCCCCCCCGCCCAUGUUGCAUGCUAUUUGUUUAAAUUGUCUGUCAUGCCUUAAGAAAAAAACGCCUAAGAAUGUUCAGAUUAGGAUUUAUUAGACGUGCAACUGAGAUCUUAUUAACAUUAGGAGUCACUUUGCUGGUUUGAUUCAAGUGACGCAACACUGGUACCUGCCAGGCAUUGACCAACUAUGGUAACAAACAGUUAAACAGCAAGAAUUAGAGAUUGAACCCUUUCAUUUCCCCCAACUAGCCUACCAGGAGAAUGCUUGGUUACAUCAUGAAGGCACGACACAUUAAAUAUUUUGUGGCUAUGAUCUAAAAACACUUGUGUUACUACAACAUCAAUGCAGAUGAAGAUCAACACAACCGCUGCCAUUUGAGCAAUACAAACUGUCUUAGGUAUAGACACACACAGCCCAAUUGUUUUAAAAAAGCAAUGGUUAGAUAUGGAUUUACUGGGUACAAAAUAACUCAAGAAGUGUUCCCGCACAAGCGCCAUUGAUAUGAAUGGGCACUUAGGCAUCUCCCAUUCAGUUCGCUGGGGCUCAUAUUUUGGAACCACUCAGCAGAUUGUUCCCCUUAUCCUCCACCUAAUUUUGACUAAUAUCACUCUCUAGCGUGAUUGCAGCCAAUGUCCAUUCAGCUGCUAUCAUGGUUAGUGUUUUCUUUUUCUCCCCUUUGCUUUGCAAAUCAGAAAAACAACAAAAAGAAUAGUGGCUAAAAUCUCAAAGCCCUUACUUCAAGUGUUAUUUCGGAAUUGGCAAAUAGUUUGUUGGCAAUUUUUUGUCAUAAUAAUAGUAAAAUAAAAUGUUUCCCUCCCCUCCCUCUUUUCCUCAGUUUUUAACACAAGUGUUUUGAGCUCCUUGGAACAUUGUGUGUCAGACAGACUACUAACACAGAAACACCAUCACCAAAAGAAACAAAAUAAUAAUAAAAAAACAACAGGAAGCAAAUGAAAUAAAGUAGGAAAAAAGCAACUGUGGAACACAGAAUUAUGCUACAGUAUUUUUUUUAGGUGACCGUUAUAAGUACACAAAAGUUAUUAAUAAUAAUUGAUUCUAUUUACAAGUACUUGAACACUGAUUGACUUAACAAGUGUCCACUAACGUUGUUAAUAGCACAGUAGGUUUAAUGUUUGCAAUUUUUAGUUGUUUUGUUUCAGUAAAGAUGUCAAGUAUAGCAGUCCCAGCACAAGAUCAAUGGUAACAAUAACACAAUUUCCUAAUUGGAUAUGCUUUCUAAGAAUUGCAAUCCACCGUCUCUCUCACACACAUACUCUCUCUCUCUCUCUCUCUCUCCAUGUGAAUCUUCUACUGUUUGCAGCAGCAAGUCCAGGGUCAAAAAAACAAAGUAACAUAAACAAACCCCCACCCAUUAUCCCAAGCAAAUUGAAAAAAUUAAGAUAUUUUGCAAACUGGAGAGAUUCUCUGUAAGAGUUUGAUUAUUUCUAUUUAACAAAACCACACAACUAGUAGAAAUGCUAUUUUGUGUUGCAGUUCCAUGGAGCUACCACAAAGUUAUGCAUAUCUCUGCUAUGUGACGCAUAGUUCUAGAGGUCUACUCAGUACAUAAAGCUCUGACACACACACACACACACACACACACACACACACACAGAGUAUUAGCAAGUCUAACUAGGCUAAAGUCACUGUUCCAAAGAAGCCUUUCCUUAUAGCUGGUUCUCCUUCGGACUCUCCACUGGUCCUGAUGCUUGUUUAUAGGAUUUCAAGUUAGCCAAAGGAAUGUCAGCCAUGGGAUUGCCAGGGUUGAAAUGGCCUUCCCCCGAGCCAAACUGCUUUCGUUCACUGAACUGGUUUCUGUUGCUGUCUUCUUUCCAGGUUCUGGUCAACGUGUGGCCAUUCACCAGUUUGUCUUUCUUAACCCAUUCCUUCUGAGGUGCAAAGGUGGAGAGUGGAGACUUUGGCUGCUGGUACGAACCCAAAGAGGGAGGCAUCCAACAGUUGUCUGAGUGACCCAGGACCAGGCAUUCUUGAGUGCACAUCUCAGUAGCUUCAGCUAAUCCUCGAGGGCCAAGAGGUCCAUCUGUGAUUUUAUUCUUCGGUCACAUACGAAACGUCAACAUUUGGAGAUGGAGAUGGUCCAAAUACAACACACAGGCAGCCAAAGCAGCAGAUUCUCUCCCCGGGAGAAUAUGGUUAUUUAGACAGACUUUAUAGCUCAAAAAGAACAGAUACCAGCACAUCUUUGUAAAUCCGUACCUUCUCUUUCACGGCGUGGACCUCAUCCAUCUUUUUAACUGCUGAAGCUACUGCUGAGGAGAACAUUACCACAACUAAUUCUGUCUUUUCCAAAUUAGCAUUUUUGUCGCAUUCCCCAUCUUUUCCAAAUAAAUUUUUAAAAAAUUUAUGCAAGGGAUUGAAAUGAACCUUCUGCAUUUGACAUAUUUGCUAAUAAAAGCAGAGCACCCACAGCAUUGGAUUAAUAUCCACUUUAUUAACACAUAUUUUCUGUUAUUUAGUUGAGAUGUUUUAGCCAGCUGCUAGGGAAAUGAAAUGAAUAGAAAUUUAUUGAGUUUGCUUAUGCUUUUUUUGCUGAGAGAAAUGCAGAAUAUUCUAGACUAAACACUCAGAACUAUUUGGUCAUCCAGUAGAUGUACUGAAUAUUUCUGAAUGCUGCAGAUGGAAGUUGUGCCGUGCUUCCUUAACUGACUGGAAAAGCUAAGGGGGCAGGUUGGUGGAUCCCUGUUCACUCUCUAGAACAGGUGUAGGCAACCUAAGGCCUGGGGGCCGGAUGGGGCCCAAUCGUCUUCUCAAUCCAUGGAGAAAGAGAUCCAACACUUUCUAGGCCCCUAAGAUAAGCAUAUUGUUAGUCUGUUCCCCCACAUCUCGGAAUCAUUCUUUAAGGCAGGGUUGGCUAAUCCCUGGUCCAGCCAGAUGAUUUUUCUUGGCCUUCAGAGACCCCAACUAUUUGGUUGCAGCAUAAAAUAUCCCCGCCCCCCACCAACUACGUUGGGUACUCUGCUGUUAUAUGCUGGGCUGCAUAGGUUUCUGCUUCAAGGGAGUGGGAUGGAGAGAGGAUUUAAGUCAUGGGAAAUUGUUCUGUGAUUGCCAACUGGGCUCAUAGGUUUAAAUCACACUCUCUUCUUGUUGUCGUUGUGCUCUCUCUCUCUCUCUCUCUCUCUCUCUCUCUCU